rnacentral:rRNA from 1 species
GAUGAACGCUGGCGGCGUGCCUAAUACAUGCAAGUCGAGCGAACGGACGAGAAGCUUGCUUCUCUGAUGUUAGCGGCGGACGGGUGAGUAACACGUGGAUAACCUACCUAUAAGACUGGGAUAACUUCGGGAAACCGGAGCUAAUACCGGAUAAUAUUUUGAACCGCAUGGUUCAAAAGUGAAAGACGGUCUUGCUGUCACUUAUAGCUGGAUCCGCGCUGCAUUAGCUAGUUGGUAAGGUAACGGCUUACCAAGGCAACGAUGCAUAGCCUACCUGAGAGGGUGAUCGGCCACACUGGAACUGAGACACGGUCCAGACUCCUACGGGAGGCAGCAGUAGGGAAUCUUCCGCAAAGGGCGAAAGCCUGACGGAGCAACGCCGCGUGAGUGAUGAAGGUCUUCGGAUCGUAAAACUCUGUUAUUAGGGAAGAACAUAUGUGUAAGUAACUGUGCACAUCUUGACGGUACCUAAUCAGAAAGCCACGGCUAACUACGUG